UUCCCAGUAGGAGAUCCCUUGGAAGGACAAUAAUACCAAGAAUAUUUUCAACAGUACAAAGUAAAGUUGAAGCUUUGUUAAACGAAGCAAGACAUGUAGCUAUCACAACCGAUAUUUGGACGUCAAUGAAUACUGAUUCAUAUCUGACUAUGACUGUUCACUUUCUAAGUCAAACCCAAAUGAAAACUUUGGUGUUAUGCACAAAAAAAUUAGACUGUAAUCAUACUGGUACAAAUAUUUCUGAAAUUAUGGGCGAGGAAUUAAAUAAGUGGAAUAUUUUUGAAAAAGUUGUCGCAGUGGUAACGGAUGGUGGAGCAAAUAUUAAAUCUGCAGUCAGACUUAUGGGACUGUCACAUUUACCGUAUACUGCGCAUAAAUUAAACUUAAUAGUUCAAAAAGCAUUAAAAUUAUCAGAUAAUGAAGAGAUUGGACCAGAUGACAAUACUGAUGAAAGUGAUCUAAAAAAAAUAUUUAAGAAGUGUCGUAAUAUAGUUGGUUUUUUUAAGCGAAGUGAAGUAGGUAAUAAAUAUUAGUAGAAAAACAGAAGCAACUUGGAAAUGAAACGGUCCUUAAAUUAAAACAAGAUAUACGUUCUCGCUGGAACAUCACAUUUCUCAUGUUAGAACGGCUAAUUAAACUUAAAGAACCACUCACCAUAGUGAUGAUGAGUUUAAAAGAAGCUCCAAGUAAUCUCAGCUCCGAAGAAUGGAACAUAAUUGAGGAUAUGAUACCAUUACUAAGACCAUUUGAAAAGUUAACUGUUGAGCUUUCUGCAGAACAUUAUCCGACCAUUUCAAUGGUUAUACCAUUAAUACGAGAUCUGCAAAGUACAUUAGGAUCGAAAAAUCCAAAUACGCAACUUGGAAUAUUUAUUAAAAAUAGAUUGAUGGAAAAUACUACCAAGCGUUUCGAAAGCCUAGAAAAACAAACUUGAAAAAACAUAUACAAGAAUUGGUGAUUAAAAAUUAUUUAAUGAUUGAAGUUUAUAAUACAUACACAAUUUACAAUCUGAAUAUAGAAGCAAAUAUUCCGCAAUAUAUAAAUAUGCAGGGUGAUUGCUAGAUAAUUGCAGGGUGAUUGCAAACAACCAGGCUGUUUCUCAAUUGAAAGAAGUAGAUGACGAGAAAUGUAACAAAGUAUUAAGAACUGGAGACAAGCUUCAACUAUAUAUGAUUUUUGUGGAAGUUGACAGUCAGUUGACUUAUUUUUAUGUUAUAAUUAAUAAGUAUUUGUAUAAAGUUGAGAGUGCCUUAAAAGCAAUAGAUAUUUUUUUUAAAUCAU